rnacentral:ncRNA from 2 species
GAACAUGAAUAUGUUCCGUGUCUGAUCGGUAAUCGAUCGGUUAAAAGGGAAGCAGGUUAAAAGCCUGCGCGGUCCCGCCGCUGUAUGCGCGAGCGAUGCUUCAAUAAGCCACUGUUUAUUACGGGAAGGCGAAGCAAAGCAAUGAUGCGCGAGCCAGAAGACCUGCACGGAGCAAGCUUCUCCA